UUCUUUCUUCCUCUUUUCUUUCUUCUCCAGUCUUCCUCUUCGCUGCGCCUCCACACCACCUCCAUCUUUAUCUAAGCAUCAGAGAAUCACACAGAAAAUCAACGAUUACUUGAACAGAUUCUCAGAUUUAAUCUCAUAUGAAGAUGGUCCUUCAUUAAAAAAUAAAUGUUAUCAGGUUCUUCAAACUCAUCUUCUCCCCUCUCUCUCGGUGAUUCCCUCAAUGUUUUCCAGGAUGCGAAUAGAUUGAUUAAACAAUCAGAUAGAUUUACUCAUCAAGUUGGAGAGAUUAUUGCUCCGUUGCUACGGUGUAUACAGAAUUAUCGAUCUGGGAAAUUUGAUUUCGAUUUUGAAUUUGAGAGUUAUUUUGUUUUGGGGGUUUUAGGGUUUGUUGAUGAAAUGUAGAAUGUUGUAGUGCUUUGCUUCAGGAGUUUAGGAGUUGGAAUCUGCUUGGGGUUUGGAUAAUAAUGAAGGUCUUCCGAUGUAGGAUUUGGUUUUUGAAAAUUGUUUUGAAGGUUAUGUAUCUAUUCGAAGGUAGAAGUGAAAAAAAGUACAUUUGUUGGAUGGGUUUUUCAUGUAAAGCAUGAUUUUUGUUCUUUUUUGAUUGUUUUCUGUUUAAGUGUGUGAUAAGCAGUAGCAUAUGUUUAGUAUUGUGUUAGUCAAGUUUUCUUAGUAGGCUUUGAUUGUGUUUAGCACGUUCAGAGGUCGUUGUUGGUUAUUUUGUUGAUUUUUGUUACAUUCUUAACAUCUAGCGUAUGAUGAUAUAUUCUCGGGUGAUGCAAAUCUAGCUUCUAAAGCGACCUUUCUUCAGCUGUAUUGUUUUCAAACAUUUGUAUUGUCAGGCUUUAUAUUUGAAUUUACAAACAUUUGCAUGUUAUUGUGCCUUAGCUAUAUGGACUGUUUGCUGACGAUUAACUCUAAGGUGGAAAUAAAUUCCACUUGCAAUAUAUGCACCUUCAAAUCACUCCAAGGCAUUGCUUAAGUUAAUGAUCCUUUUUGUUAAUCAGAAAAAAGGUUCAGAUAUUGUUCUGCUAGAAGUAUCGGGGUCCAAGGUAUGGUCCAAGUGAAUUGAAAGAUUUAUCGUAAAGAUACCAUAUUGCUGCAGGAUGGGGAUGAAUUGAUUUUUAGUUCAUCUGGUAAAUAUGUUAUAUUUUCCAGCAACUAGCAACUAAUAAUUCUGGAAGUCAAAGUGUGCCAGCUAAAGGAAGAAACAUUGGAGCAAGGUCUGUAGGCUCCAGAGCUGCUACUCAAGCUCGCCACAUCUCCCAUAGUGAUGCAGAUGCACAAUGAGGCAAUGGUCGGGCUCUGAAGUAUCUGGCUCACUGACUCCUGAUCUUGGUGACAGCUGCCACAUUAAGAAAUGUAGUUCUUCAGGUGACAAGCGAGCUGGUGUUUCCGCAGCCUGUUAUAUUGGCGGAAUGAGCAAGGAUGUUGUACGGGAACCAGUACUUGCUAUGGAGAAUAAAAUCCAAAGAACAUCCAGAGCUUCAUCAGGCAAUCUCACUCUGAUUAUUUCAAUAUCGUCUCUCAAGAGUUCUGAAUCCCUUUAAGGCAAGAAAGGUUUCGACGCUGUUACUCUGUAAAGCUUGAGUCUCUGUGAGAUGUGGUGGUAUUGAUGAUUGAAGGUCUUGAUAAUAUAUGAAGAGCGAAUGAGUCCAACCUCCACUUGAAAUGAAACUUGUUGCAUCUGUUCAUGUCAAGGUAUCUUAUUCAUCAGGGUACCUUGACAUGUUCAAGAAUGCCAUUUCAACCAAGAUGGAAGUGAAUCUAGGAGGGCUUAAUUACUCAGCUCUUCUUUUUGUUAAGGAUUCCUAAAGAGAAUAAAUCUCAAGAAUAUGAAGCUGCAGUUGUUCUUCCAAAUGAACUCAAAUGACUCAUUUUUUUUUCUUUUCUGUUUUCACUGGAUUGUAGAUUGUAAAAAAAACGGUUUGUAAUUUUGUUUCAGGUAUAAAUUUCAUUGUAUUGCAGGCCUGUAAACUGAGAACAAAUCCAGUGAUGACCUGUAUUGCAGGCCUGUAAAAUGGAUGCCCGGGUCUAUGAAAAAAACACGUGUCAUCGUUAUCAAAAAUAAAAGAUGUUUUCGCUGGUUUAA